CGCGGAGCCGCUCAGUAGUGCGGAGGCGAAGCGCACGGUCGUAGAGUAAAGCCCAGCACUUUCUCCACUCACCCGUGCCGGACAGAGCAGGACGAUAACAGACUGGGAGGAGCCCAUUGGUCACCUCUCGGAGCCGUGGCUCACUUCCACACUUUGAUAAGCUCGUUCCAUCUACUCACCACCCUCUGUGUGGAAAAACCUGCCCCUCAGAUCUCUUCAAACCUUUCCCCUGUAGCAGUCAGGACAAUGUCAAAUCUCCCAUCACACUUUGGGAGGAUAUUCUGCUGCCUGGGAAAAGAUGUUGGAAACCACAGAACAAAGAAGCAUAGUGAAGGAAGGUCAUGGAAUCAACAUCUGAUGUUGCCAUGAGCUGCUCAGUUUUUCCAGCAUUCGCUAUUACUCUGCCCGAGACCACAAGAAACUGCAGGGAGUUGUGCACAGCUCAGCACAUCACGGAAACCAGCCUCCUCUCCAUGGACUCUGUCUACAUUUCUUGAUACCUCGGUAAAGCAGCCAACAUAAUCAAAGACCCCACCCACCCUGGAUAUUCUCUCUUCUCCCCUUUCCCAUCGGGCAGAAGAUACAAAAGCCUGAAAGCACAUCCCACUAGACUCAAGGACAGCUUCUACCUCACUGUUAUAAGACUAUUGAACGGUCCCCCAGCAUGAUAAGAUGGACUCUUGACUUCACAAUCUAUCUCGUUAUGACCUUGCACCUUAUUGUCUGCCUGCACUGCACUUUCUCUGUAGCUGUGACACUUUAUUCUGCAUUCCGUUAUUGCUUUCCCUUGUACUACCUCGAUGUACUGAUGCGAUAAAAUGAUCUGUAUGGAUGGCAUGCAAAACAAAGUUUGUCACUGUACCUCGGUAUAUGUGACAAUAAUGAACCAAUUUACCUCAAAUUUACCUCAGUUUAAUUCCAGGAUCCAAAGGGAGAUUCCCUACUCCACAUGGUGAAGUGCAGAAUGAAGUAUUGCUAGCAGUGCUCUUGGGAGACACAAAAGUUAUUUGUCUUAUGUUGAGAAAUGCUGGCAGUUCCAUGUAACCUCAA